UGGAUAGAUCUGGCCUGGGAAAGCAAC
rnacentral:piRNA from 1 species